rnacentral:rRNA from 1 species
CCCUUAGAUGUCCUGGGCCGCACGCGCGCUACACUGAUGCAUUCAACGAGUAUUUCCUUGGCCGAGAGGCCUGGGCAAUCUUUUAAACCUGCAUCGUGAUAGGGAUAGAUUAUUGCAAUUAUUAAUCUUGAACGAGGAAUUCCUAGUAAACGCAAAUCAUCAAUUUGCAUUGAUUACGUCCCUGCCCUUUGUACACACCGCCCGUCGCGCCUACCGAUUGAAUGGUCCGGUGAAAUCUCGGGAUUGUGGCCAGUUCACUUUAUUGGGAGUUGGCUGCGAGAACUUGCUUAAACCUUAUCAUUUAGAGGAAGGUGAAGUCGUAACA